rnacentral:pre_miRNA from 1 species
CAUAUACUUCCCCGUCCGGAAAUACUUGUCAUAGAAAUGAAUGUAUUUAGAUGUAUUUUAAUUUUAGACACAUCUAUUUUUAUUUAUUUGUGUGACAAGUAAUUCCGGACGAAGGGAGUAAUAC